AGACGUGGGGGUUUCCGCGGUCGAAAGUCCGUGGAUCGAGCCCGCUUUGUUGGCGAAGUCUGUGGAGAAAGGUCCGAGAAAAGUGCAUGGGUGACGACACAGUCGCCCGUACUAAAACUGACACAGGUAGGCGAGGAGAGUAUCCUAAGGCGCUCGAGAGAACUGCGGUUAAGGAACUAGGCAAUCUAACCCCGUAACUUCGGGAGAAGGGGUCCCUACUCGCAAGAGAGGGCGCAGGAAUCAGCCUGGGCGACUGUUUAUCAAAAACACAGUUCCGUGCUAACUCGUAAGAGGAUGUAUACGGAAUGACGCCUGCUCGGUGCCGGAAGGUUAAGGAAGUCGGUUAGGGGUUCGCCCCAAAGCUGGCAACCGAAGCCCCGGUAAACGGCGGCCGUAACUAUGACGGUCCUAAGGUAGCGAAGUUCCUUGUCGGGUAAGUUCCGACGUGCAUGAACGGCGUAACGACUUGGGCGCUGUCUCAACCGCAGACUCGGUGAAAUUGAAGUGGCGGUGUAGAUACCGUCUACCCGCAGCAAGACGGAAGGACCCCAUGCACCUUUACUAUAACCUGAUACUGAUGCCGGGUUUGAACUGCGUAGCAUAGGUGGGAGGCGUUGAUCCCUCGGUUCUGGCCGAGGGGGAGCCACAAUGUGAAAUACCACCCUGUUUGCAUUCGUCAUCUCACCCUGUCCCAUGAAUCUGGGCAGGGAACCGUGUUAGGCGGUUAGUUUGACUGGGGCGGUCUCCUCCAAAAGAGUAACGGAGGAGUGCAAAGACGGGCUCAGGCCGGUUGGCAAUCGGUCUCAGAGCGCAUAGGUAUAAGCCCGUUUGACUGCGAGUGCUACGGCACGAGCAGAUGUGAAAGCAGGCCUAAGUGAUCCUGUGGUCCCGUGUGGAAGGGCCAUAGCUCAACGGAUAAAAGGUACGCUGGGGAUAACAGGCUGAUCGCCUCCGAGCGUCCAUAGCGGCGAGGCGGUUUGGCACCUCGAUGUCGGCCCAUCGCAUCCUGGGGCUGAAGGCGGUCCCAAGGGUUUGGCUGUUCGCCAAUUAAAGCGGUACGCGAGCUGGGUUCAGACCGGCGUGAGCCAGGUCGGUCCCUAUCUGUUGCGGGCGUAGGAACUUUGACGGCACCUCAUCCAUAGUACGAGAGGAUUUGGAUGGACGGACCCCUGUUUUACCAGUUGUCGCGCUAGCGGCACGGCUGGAUAGCUAUGUCCGGAACGAAUAAACGCUGAAAGCAUCUAAGCGUGAAGUCUAUGCCAAGACAAGAGUUCCAUGGGGGCUUGCCCCCGAGAGACCCCGGGUAGACUACCCGGUUGAUAGGCCGGAGCUGUAAGUACCGUAAGGUAUUCAGGUCACCGGUACUAACGGUCGAUUGCUUGACCAU
rnacentral:rRNA from 1 species